GGUAAAGUGGCUGAGUUUAGGUUAUAGACUGUAAAUCUAUUUACGGGGCUUUGCCCCCUUUGCCA
rnacentral:tRNA from 1 species